GAAUCUUCGGAGGAAGAGGACAGUGACUGAGCGGCGGACGGGUGAGUAACGCGUGGGCAACCUGCCUCAUACAGGGGGAUAACAGUUAGAAAUGACUGCUAAUACCGCAUAAGCGCACAGGACCGCAUGGUGUAGUGUGAAAAACUCCGGUGGUAUGAGAUGGACCCGCGUCUGAUUAGGUAGUUGGUGGGGUAAAGGCCUACCAAGCCGACGAUCAGUAGCCGACCUGAGAGGGUGACCGGCCACAUUGGGACUGAGACACGGCCCAAACUCCUACGGGAGGCAGCAGUGGGGAAUAUUGCACAAUGGGGGAAACCCUGAUGCAGCGACGCCGCGUGAAGGAAGAAGUAUUUCGGUAUGUAAACUUCUAUCAGCAGGGAAGAAAAUGACGGUACCUGAGUAAGAAGCACCGGCUAAAUACGUGCCAGCAGCCGCGGUAAUACGUAUGGUGCAAGCGUUAUCCGGAUUUACUGGGUGUAAAGGGAGCGUAGACGGAUAGGCAAGUCUGGAGUGAAACCCAGGGCUCAACCCUGGGACUGCUUUGGAAACUGCAGAUCUGGAGUGCCGGAGAGGUAAGCGGAAUUCCUAGUGUAGCGGUGAAAUGCGUAGAUAUUAGGAGGAACACCAGUGGCGAAGGCGGCUUACUGGACGGUGACUGACGUU
rnacentral:rRNA from 1 species